GACGUAGGGUGCAAGCGUUAUCCGGAAUUAUUGGGCGUAAAGAGCUCGUAGGCGGUUUGUCGCGUCUGCUGUGAAAACCGGAGGCUCAACCUCCGGCCUGCAGUGGGUACGGGCAAACUAGAGUGCGGUAGGGGAGAUUGGAAUUCCUGGUGUAGCGGUGGAAUGCGCAGAUAUCAGGAGGAACACCGAUGGCGAAGGCAGAUCUCUGGGCCGUAACUGACGCUGAGGAGCGAAAGCGUGGGGAGCGAACAGG
rnacentral:rRNA from 1 species